rnacentral:rRNA from 1 species
UAGGGAAUCUUCGGCAAUGGACGGAAGUCUGACCGAGCAACGCCGCGUGAGUGAAGAAGGUUUUCGGAUCGUAAAGCUCUGUUGUAAGAGAAGAAUGAGUGUGAGAGUGGAAAGUUCACACUGUGACGGUAUCUUACCAGAAAGGGACGGCUAACUACGUGCCAGCAGCCGCGGUAAUACGUAGGUCCCAAGCGUUGUCCGGAUUUAUUGGGCGUAAAGCGAGCGCAGGCGGUUAGAUAAGUCUGAAGUUAAAGGCUGUGGCUUAACCAUAGUACGCUUUGGAAACUGUUUAACUUGAGUGCAAGAGGGGAGAGUGGAAUUCCAUGUGUAGCGGUGAAAUGCGUAGAUAUAUGGAGGAACACCGGUGGCGAAAGCGGCUCUCUGGCUUGUAACUGACGCUGAGGCUCGAAAGCGUGGGGAGCAAACAGGAUUAGAUACCCUGGUAGUCCACGCCGUAAACGGUGAGUGCUAGGUGUUAGACCCUUUCCGGGGUUUAGUGCCGCAGCUAACGCAUUAAGCACUCCGCCUGGGGAGUACGACCGCAAGGUUG